GACGAACGCUGGCGGCGUGCUUAACACAUGCAAGUCGAGCGGUAAGGCCCUUUCGGGGGUACGACGAGCGGCGAACGGGUGAGUAACACGUGGGUGACCUGCCCUCAGCUCUGGGAUAAGCCCGGGAAACUGGGUCUAAUACCGGAUAUGACUCCAUGACGCAUGUUGUGGGGUGGAAAGCCUUGUGCGGCUGAGGAUGGGCCCGCGGCCUAUCAGCUUGUUGGUGGGGUGAUGGCCACCAAGGCGACGACGGGUAGCCGGCCUGAGAGGGCGACCGGCCACACUGGGACUGAGAUACGGCCCAGACUCCUACGGGAGGGCAGCAGUGGGGAAUCUUGCGCAAUGGGCGAAAGCCUGACGCAGCGACGCCGCGUGAGGGAUGACGGCCU
rnacentral:rRNA from 1 species